AAUGCCUAGGAAUCUGCCUGGUAGUGGGGGAUAACGUUCGGAAACGGACGCUAAUACCGCAUACGUCCUACGGGAGAAAGCAGGGGACCUUCGGGCCUUGCGCUAUCAGAUGAGCCUAGGUCGGAUUAGCUAGUUGGUGAGGUAAUGGCUCACCAAGGCGACGAUCCGUAACUGGUCUGAGAGGAUGAUCAGUCACACUGGAACUGAGACACGGUCCAGACUCCUACGGGAGGCAGCAGUGGGGAAUAUUGGACAAUGGGCGAAAGCCUGAUCCAGCCAUGCCGCGUGUGUGAAGAAGGUCUUCGGAUUGUAAAGCACUUUAAGUUGGGAGGAAGGGUUGUAGAUUAAUACUCUGCAAUUUUGACGUUACCGACAGAAUAAGCACCGGCUAACUCUGUGCCAGCAGCCGCGGUAAUACAGAGGGUGCAAGCGUUAAUCGGAAUUACUGGGCGUAAAGCGCGCGUAGGUGGUUUGUUAAAUUGGAUGUGAAAUCCCCGGGCUCAACCUGGGAACUGCAUUCAAAACUGACUGACUAGAGUAUGGUAGAGGGUGGUGGAAUUUCCUGUGUAGCGGUGAAAUGCGUAGAUAUAGGAAGG
rnacentral:rRNA from 1 species